rnacentral:ncRNA from 2 species
GUCUUAUCAAGAGUGAACGAGAGAUCGGGCUCAAUGACUUCACAGCAACCUGCGCUUGACGCAAGGUGCUCCUACCCGCAAAGCGCUUCGCUUUGAAUGAUAAGGA